GCGGCCUAUCAGCUUGUUGGUGGGGUAACGGCCUACCAAGGCAACGACGGGUAGCUGGUCUGAGAGGACGAUCAGCCACACUGGGACUGAGACACGGCCCAGACUCCUACGGGAGGCAGCAGUAGGGAAUCUUGCGCAAUGGGGGAAACCCUGACGCAGCGACGCCGCGUGCGGGAUGAAGGCCUUCGGGUCGUAAACCGCUUUCAGCAGGGACGAAAUUGACGGUACCUGCAGAAGAAGGCCCGGCCAACUACGUGCCAGCAGCCGCGGUGAUACGUAGGGGUCUAGCGUUGUCCGGAAUUAUUGGGCGUAAAGAGCUCGUAGGCGGUUCGGCAAGUCGGAUGUGAAAUCUCCACGCUUAACGUGGAGGGGCCAUUCGAAACUGCCGUGACUCGAGUCCGGUAGGGGAGUUCGGAAUUCCCGGUGUAGCGGUGAAAUGCGCAGAUAUCGGGAGGAACACCAGUGGCGAAGGCGGAACUCUGGGCCGGAACUGACGCUGAGGAGCGAAAGCGUGGGGAGCGAACAGGAUUAGAUACCCUGGUAGUCCACGCCGUAAACGUUGGGCACUAGGUGUGGGGUUCUAUCGACGGAUUCCGUGCCGUAGCUAACGCAUUAAGUGCCCCGCCUGGGGAGUACGG
rnacentral:rRNA from 1 species